GCCCUCAGAUGUUGCAUGCUGAGAUUGAAAUAAAGACAGCAUCCUCUCAAAUGGUACUCUGAUACAACUCUAUGCAGGUUCUAUCAACCAUGUACUAGAUUCUGCCCUCAGUCAUGGAAACUCACCAGCACUUCCAUCUAUUUUGGCAGCAAGGAAAUUGGACACAAACAAGAGAUGGUGACCUCAUUGCAUGGGUUUUCUCAAUCUGUAGCUGAAGUCGAAAUGUUGCUAAGAAUCCUGUCAAUUGGCUAAACACAAAUCUGCUUAAGGUGGAUGCUACAUAUAAAAGGAGGACCCAAGUACACACUGCAGCAAUGACAACUGGUAGGCCACAAACUAUGAAUGUUGACAUCAUGAUGUCAUCACAAAGGUGAAUCCUUCUGAUGCUAUGACCUCUUUAACACAAAGCUGCUCAAGAUAAAAGGGUGUUUUUAAUCAGUAACUUAUUAAGAUAAAAAGAAUCAUGUUUUUUCUUCUUUUCAACAACUGCAUCGAUAAAUUCUUUGUAAUUUUUAUUCUGUGAGAAUUUGGAACUUUGUCAAGGCAAUUCUCCCUUCUAUACCAAUAUUUCUUUUGAGAAUUUGGUAGUACAUCAAGACAGUUAUUCUGACUACGACCAAGUUGUAUUUUAUUUUGUGUCACCAGAAUUCUCCUAGAAGAAGCUAUGAUAAUUAAUUUAUUUAAUAAUUAAUUUCAUUAAUGAGAAUUCAGUGGGAUAUCAAGGCAAAUAUCUUUUUUCUUAGUGAUUGCUACUACUUAUCUUUUUCCUUGGUAGAUGCUGAGGUCAUGUACACAGAGAAUCUGCAAAUCAGAGAAUUUCUGGGUGCACUAGCAGCAGGGAUAGCUGGACAUCACUAACACAUGCUGUCAUCAUGGAGUCUUCUCAAGCUGUCACUGAUGAUGAAUUCUUAGCGGAACAUGCUGUCAAUUUUCUUCAACACAAAACUGCUCAAAAUGGGAAUUGUAUCACCUAACGUUUAAAAGGUAGCACUACACAUAGCAGUGAUACAGUUUCAGAAAGUUGUCAAAGUCAAUGCAUUCAAAUUCUCUACCUGUUGUUAUAAAGGGCUGGUGCAGCUAUGGAGGCCUUAUGUGCCACAAGGCACAAAGAAGCUAAGUGAAGUGAAGUGAAGCAGCUAUGGAUGACAUACUGCGAAAGGCAUCUCAAUUCUGUUUUCUUUCUCUUGUGGCGUAUGGAAAGCCCUCAUUUCAUGUACACCAGGAUCAACAUGGUACUUGGACACCAGCAAAGAACGUUGAUGACAUAGAGCUUUCUCAGGUGGUCACUGGAUGAUCCUACCAAUUCGCUUAAACACAAAAUUGCUCAAGAGAGUGGAAUAUUGGUAAGUUUUAGUAGGCUGCAAGAAUUUGAUGUUAGAUUAACAUCCUCAGUACUGAUGGUUAUCAUAAUGAGCAAGUUGUAUUGACCAUGUACAGCUUAAUCAAGGUAAACAUCAACCUCCCUUACCAUUGUUGAAAGAUGGUAAAUCACAGAGCACUUCUCAAUAAUGUUAUCUCACAUGGAUGCUGCUGUCUGUUUGGGUGACCCCCUGUGGUUUCCAAGUGGACUGGUGUCAACAACAGUUUUAGACCAAUACACAAAGUUGACAUCAUGAGGUCAGUGUUGCUGUCACAUCCUGGUAAUAAACUUGGAGACAAAGCUGCUUAAGGUUGAAGUUAGUAACUCUCAGAGGAUUAAAAACAUACCAGUCUUAAUAUUAUUCCACACCUACAACCUCUACUAGUUUUACUAUACUAAUGUCUGUUUUGAGAAUUUGAUGGUACCAUCAAAACAAUAUAUCUUUGAUUCACACAUGUUAUUCUCCAUACUGACUGCAUCGCUAGUGUAUGUUCUGAGAAUUUGGGUGUAUAUCAAGAUAUAAUAGAAUAUAAUUUCUCUGUACUGAUUGCCUUUCUUACUAAUGCAUGUUCUUAGAAUUUGGUCUACAUCAAGACCAUGUCUUCUAGAAUCAUGCCACCUCUCCACAUACCAUUAUUGCAACUUCUCAGGACUGCAUUUUUGUAGCAAAUGAAAGAAGCAAGUUAACCCUUGAUCCAUUGGUACAUUUCUUCUCCACUCUGGCAGUAGCAGAAUAAAGCUGUGUGCAAGUCCAUGGGUGAUUCUCCAUUUAUGAGGCUGUUGUCACAAUAUGAUUUCACCGGCAAUCUACUAGGGAACUUAAGCACAUUUUACAAGUUAAUAGCUGGAACUGAAAAACAUACAUAUACAUCACUUACCUUCAUGAUAACAAAAGAUGAUCCAAAAUGUCUUAAUGAAAUGAGCAAUAUCUUUUACUUUUGUAAUGAUUUUCACGCCUCCGAAAAUGGACGUUUUGAGUUAUGUGAUUGCCCCCGAAAGUGGGCUAAUUUGACCUAGACAGUAAUAGUUAUUUAAUCUCAAGUUAAGUGACUCAUAAUGUAUUACAAAAAAGCACACUGACACCAUUUUUUCUAGUUUUAUUGUAUUGAUAAGUAAUAUCAGAAACUCAUAAGGGGCUCAAUACCCCUUUUAAGUUUCAGGCAAUGCAUAUUAAUAGAAAAGUUAGUUACAAUAAUAUUUAAUGUCUUCAUGGUUUCUUGCUGUCUUCUCCAUUCUACUCGCUCCCGAAAAUGAGCAGCCACCACAUGCUAUGAUUACUAUGCUUUUUACGAUAACAAUAUUGCUUUUUACAAUGCAAAAAAAUCCACAGGACCUAAAUUAAAGCAUGAGGGGGUGCACUUCUUAAGCUGAAUAAUUUGGCAUCCAGAGAAAGCCAAGAGUGUCCCAGUGUCAGUUGACACUUCUUUUGGAACACCCAGGGCUCCUGGAUGAUUCUCAUUGGUCUGUAAUCUUUGGCUUGGUAAUGAAUCAAUGUCAAUACCAAGCCUUAAUGUGCUUGUAGCCGGAUAAUGUUUGGAAACCAAAAGCCGAACUGUAAGCGAAAGCCGAACCAAAAGGCUAUCAUUAAUUAUUAUAAUUAAAACAAUUUAAUCCACGUACCUUUUGCCAGGUUGUAGAAAUAACCUACCUUAAAUAUCAUCUCUUGGUCCUUCAACCCAAAGGAUAGCUCUGUCUCAACAUAAGCAUCGCCAGAGAAAUGCUUCUGAAUGACAUGACAUGACAAGCAUACAAGUGGAGCAGCCAAGAGGUACAACUGACACUAAGAUCACGGAUGACUCUUAUUGAGUGGUUUCUCUUGGCCAUAUUCCAGUCUUGUUGAUCCCUUUUGAAGCUACUUGACAUGUAUAGUGAUGUCAUGAGAUUACUUGAAGGUACAAUGAUCCAGUGAGAAUUCCAUGCUUUGGAAAUUCAUCCACCCUUGCUGCAAAAUAGUCCUUCAAUUAUGUUUGUAAUGAAGUCUUUCUCUCACAAGACUUCCGGGUUAGAGUUCAGUAUGAGGUUGACAACCUCACCCCAUAAAUAGGAAAUAUCUCAAAGGGCAGCAACAAGAUUCAAUUAAGCAGGAAGUCAAAGACUAGGAAUGGAGUUUGAAAUGUAAGGGCUGUAUAGCACUAGCAGACGUUCACAGGUGACCAGGUAGACGAGUGAAAAAACGUAUAAUUCACAUAAUCACUCUUGGCUUCAGUCAGUGCAGAUGGAGUGAAUUUGUUUCUUAGGAAACAGACGUGGAAGCAAUUUUGCUUUUAGACCUGAGUGAUAUCCAAGAUUCUAAAGAACUUGCAGUUGCUUACCUUGAGAAGUUUGCUGAGAAGUUCAUCCUUGAAUAGGAAACAGUGAGAUAUUGAUCAAAUCCAAAUUCUGCUGAUGCUGGGCAAGGAUGAAUCCAGAGCUGUUCUCUGAUCAUGCUGAUCCUGAGUGGAAUGACACAUUUUGUUCAUGCCAAAGGACAUGAUGAAUCAUGACACUUACAACAAAACUGUCUGUGUAUGCUGUUGUCCAGUUGGAGGAUUUGUGUUUCUCUUGCAAGAUUCUUGAGAGGUUGCAGGCUCUGUAUAUUUUGGUAGUAAAGAUCUGGGAUGAAACAUUUCUCCUCCAGUAUUAUUGGCAUUAGAAGAUGGGCUUGAUUGGUUGACAGCUUUAGAAAGCAGUGCUUGUUUAGUUAGGAAUCAGCUUAGUGAGAAGUAGGUAGUAUGUGUGUUAUUCUUCAAUAUUCCAGCUUUCCAGUGUUCCAGUGCUCCAUUGCUUUCAAUUAGCUGAAAAUUGGUUUCUUGGUAAAGUACACGCUUGGUGGCUGUGUGGGACAUUUGGUAGUAUCAGACAACAUGGAUGACAAGAGAGUUGUGGAAAGGCAUGGUUUUAAGUAGUGUAAACAAUUAUGGUGUUGACUAUAAACUUUUGUAGUACAAAGAACCUUUCUGGUCAUUCAUCAGUGGUGUUUUGUUUCUAUAGAGGCAUAAUUUCCUCCUUGGCAUGUUGGUAGUGAUCACCAUCACUAAAGCUGCACAUACUGUAGGGUAUUAAUAGGACAGAUGUUUAUCUGCGUGUAAGCUGAAGGCUGUUGUGCAUAUUGUAUUUGGCUAAUUUUUUGAAUUACAGGACAUGUUUCUUGCUCCUCGCUCGUAUUAUACCAGAGGUUCCUGUGGAUUUUCUUGGGUUUCUUCUUGAAUCAAGUGUAGUAGGUCUAUCAAUCAGGAUUGAACAAAGGUGUUGUAAAGGAACUUUUAAGUCCACAGCCCAAGACGAUCUCUGGACAUAGGUAGAAAAUGAAAAGCACCUUUUUGAUAAGCAAGUUGACUGAGAAACUUCUUAGAAGGAAAAGAUUAAUGCUAAACCCAGCCUGUUUGAGAAGCCCUCAACAAGGCUGCUGUGGAGAAGCAUUGUAACACAUUUAUCUUUUGAUUAUGGAUAAGGUUACCAUAAAAUAAACAGUCAAUCUGCUGAAAGGUUUUUGAUCUUUGUGUCCUCAAUAACCAGAGGUAUCUUGUUUUAGCAUAGGGACUUAUCCAGUAUUUCCAGGACCCCUUUGAACAGGUGGGUCUACUCCCACAUUGAUCAUCUUCCCAUUAAUGGGAUAAAAGAGCUUGUGUUUGAAAAGAGGGGCCUGUGUAGGAAGUACAUGACCAUCAGGUCACUGCCUUUGUUAAAUCAUGGCUAUACGCUGGAUAGUACAAGACGGUCAAGACAGAAAAUUAAUGUUGUACUCUCUUGGAUGAUCGUCUGUGGCACUGAUUCUACACAGAACUGCUGGACUUGUUUCAGUUCCUCACCAGCUUUCUCUUUACUUUUUUUUUCUUCUUGUCUUUGAUGGUCUCCUAGUUCUCCCUGCUCCACUGAUUGGGGAUUUUCCCUUUAUUCUAAUUGUGGCUAAAGGAGCUUCAUUUUAUGAGAUAAUUGUUUUCGAUGUCUAAGUAACAGAUCAUUAAGAUCAGACAAGAGUUGUUGAGAGUCUUGUGUCAGAGGUAGGGGCUGUAAAUUUGUGGGUGUCAGCAGAAUGAAAAGACACCUGUUAGCAAUAAGCAAGGUUUGUUACUCACAACUGAGAGGGAACGGGAAGGGUGUUGGGUAGAACAAUGGAAGUCAUUGAUAUCGACUUUACACUCAAAGAAAGAAAUCUUGAAAUACAUGAAGGGUGUUACGAUGUAGAUUGAAUGUCUGGACCAUUUCAACUUGGAUGAUGUAGUGUGAUGGGUGCAGGGAAUUUAAUUAAGUGAGGUGUGUAGGAGCAAUAUCAAGUGACCGGAGCAAGGCCAUUCUCACACCAAGUUUCAAGAAAAAUGCAAGUGAGAGGCAACGACAGACAGUGUAUCACUGUAUCACUUUGCUAUCCUUACAAAGCAAAAUCUUCUGCAAAGUCAUUGUGAAGCGUCUAUCCUGAGAUGUACACUGUAAGUGAAGUAAAACAAACCAAAGGUGGUGCAUGUCACUGUGUAAUGUCAGCCAUGCAGGAUGAUUCAAAUCGUCUGUGCUCUGUAAUCCUCUGAUGAAGCAGCCAAGUACUUCCAGUUGUCUUAAAGAAUCAAGGCACAGUCUGCAGGACCACAAAUUUAUGGCAUCAACAGAUUGUACAGACACCCAUUAUUGAUAAGCAUUAGGUCUGUUAAAAUGGGAAGGAGCAGGUCAAGAGUGAUGGACGGAACAUUUUAGGAAGGUCCUUAACCUGCCGGUCCAGAUGAGCCAGCUAAUCUAUUGUCUGUGAUGCUGAAGAUCACCUUUUUAUAUGAGAAGUGGCUCAUUAAUGGUUUUUAAUAAGGAUAAAGCACCUUGCUAGAUGAGAUGAGCUUAGUGCCAAACAUUUUAACUCUGACCCACUGAGCUGACUAUAGAGAUAACACUACUCUCACUUUUAACUGGAGGCUUGGGUCAUGAAGGGAUAACCAAGUGACUGGAGCGGAGGUGUUGUCUUAGUAAUUUUCAAGAAAGCUACACAGGCUCACAGCAACAACUGGCAGGGUACCAGUUUGUUAUCCUUGAAAGGCACUCUUAUGUAAAAUCAUUGUGAGAUGUCCAUCCAUGGCAAUUAAUGAACUGUUGCUGAAAGAUUACGUUGAUUGAGGAAGAAAUCAUGGCACAGAAACCUGUACAAGUUUAAGUUGAUCAGUUAAAAUUCUUAACUCUCUGGAAAGGGUAGAAGCAAUAGGAGAAACAGAGAGAUAUAUGAGAAUCUUUUGCU